CAGUAGCCACGGUAAUACAGAGGGUGCAAGCGUUAAUCGGAAUUACUGGGCGUAAAGCGCGCGUAGGUGGUUCGUUAAGUUGGAUGUGAAAUCCCCGGGCUCAACCUGGGAACUGCAUCCAAAACUGGCGAGCUAGAGUAGGGCAGAGGGUGGUGGAAUUUCCUGUGUAGCGGUGAAAUGCGUAGAUAUAGGAAGGAACACCAGUGGCGAAGGCAACCACCUGGGCUCAUACUGACACUGAGGUGCGAAAGCGUGGGGAGCAAACAGGAUUAGAUACCCCCGUAGUCCCUGUCUCUUAUAC
rnacentral:rRNA from 1 species